rnacentral:rRNA from 1 species
CUACGGGCGGCUGCAGUGGGGAAUAUUGCACAAUGGGCGCAAGCCUGAUGCAGCCAUGCCGCGUGUAUGAAGAAGGCCUUCGGGUUGUAAAGUACUUUCAGCGGGGAGGAAGGGAGUAAAGUUAAUACCUUUGCUCAUUGACGUUACCCGCAGAAGAAGCACCGGCUAACUCCGUGCCAGCAGCCGCGGUAAUACGGAGGGUGCAAGCGUUAGUCGGAAUUACUGGGCGUAAAGCGCACGCAGGCGGUUUGUUAAGUCAGAUGUGAAAUCCCCGGGCUCAACCUGGGAACUGCAUCUGAUACUGGCAAGCUCGAGUCUCGUAGAGGGGGGUAGAAUUUCAGGUGUAGCGGUGAAAUGCGUAGAGAUCUGGAGGAAUACCGGUGGCGAAGGCGGCCCCCUGGACGAAGACUGACGCUCAGGUGCGAAAGCGUGGGGAGCAAACAGGAUUAGAUACCCCUGUAGUC